rnacentral:misc_RNA from 1 species
GAAAUGCGAUACGCAAUGCGAAUUGCAGAAUUCCGCGAGUCAUCAGAUCUUUGAACGCAACUGGCGCUGGCCGUCAAACCGCCAGCAUGCUUGUUUCAGUGUCCGAGGAAUCACACAUCCCAAUGCGAUUGACGGGGAACCAGAGUGUCACAACUCCGGCUCCCCCUCUCUCGUUAAACACGGCGGCGCCGAGCCUCUUGCGCGGCCGAAAUGAAGUAGUCACCUCCUCCGAGAGUGAUCUCGUUUCGGGUACCGGCGGGCUCAAUCAAGGGCGUUCCGCAUUAAACUAAACAGCUUUGUCGAAUUUAUUCGCACGAAGUUUGUUUUUACUUUUCUCCACGCGCGACCUGAAAUCAAGCAAGGGCACCCGCUGAACUUAA